rnacentral:rRNA from 1 species
UACGUAGGUGGCAAGCGUUGUCCGGAUUUAUUGGGUUUAAAGGGUGCGUAGGCGGCCCCGUAAGUCAGUGCUGAAAUAUCCCGGCUUAACCGGGAGGGUGGCAUUGAUACUGCAGGGCUUGAGUAAAGUUGAGGUAGGCGGAAUUGACGGUGUAGCGGUGAAAUGCGUAGAUAUCCGGAGGAACACCGGUGGCGAAGGCGGCUUCCUGGACCGACACUGACGCUGAGGCGCGAAAGCUAGGGGAGCAAACGGG